AGAUGUGAAAGCCCGGGGCUUACCCCGGAAGUGCAUUUGAAACUAAAGGACUUGAGUAUGGGAGAGGGAAGUGGAAUUCCUGGUGUAGAGGUGAAAUUCGUAGAUAUCAGGAGGAACACCGGUGGCGAAGGCGACUUCCUGGACCAAUACUGACGCUGAGGCGCGAAGGCGUGGGGAGCAAACAGGAUUAGAUACCCUGGUAGUCCACGCAGUAAACGAUGAACACUAGGUGUAGCGGGUAUUGACCCCUGCUGUGCCGCAGUUAACGCAUUAAGUGUUCCGCCUGGGGAGUACGACCGCAAGGUUAAAACUCAAAGGAAUU
rnacentral:rRNA from 1 species